GAGAGUUAAACAGUACGUGAAAUUGUUGAAAGGGAAACGAUUGAAGCCAGUCGUACCUUCGGGUAAUCAGCCUUUCGGGUGUGAUUCUGUGGAGUGUGAGGAGCUUAAACACCUUCAUGUUUUGCAUAUUCGUACUCUUGGGUGUACUUGCCCGUGUGGUUGGUUAACAUCAAUUUUGGUGGUCAUAAAAUGACUGGAGGAAUGUAGCUUCGAUCUUGUAUUGAAGUGUUAUAGCCUUCGGUAGAUGUGAUGAUCGAGAUUGAGGAUUGCAACGGAUACCCUUCGGGGCUACCUGUCUGAUCUCUGAUCGUUGCUCUGGUGCCGAAAGCUUGCUUACGGUUAUCAAAGUCGAUGGUCAAUAGGUUAGAACGGGUUAAAUUCGUUAAGGAUGUUGACGUAAUGGCUUUAAACGA
rnacentral:rRNA from 1 species